rnacentral:rRNA from 1 species
GAUGAACGCUGGCGGCGUGCUUAACACAUGCAAGUCGAACGGAAAGGCCCAAGCUUGCUUGGGUACUCGAGUGGCGAACGGGUGAGUAACACGUGGGUGAUCUGCCCUGCACUUCGGGAUAAGCCUGGGAAACUGGGUCUAAUACCGGAUAGGACGAUGGUUUGGAUGCCAUUGUGGAAAGUUUUUUCGGUGUGGGAUGAGCUCGCGGCCUAUCAGCUUGUUGGUGGGGUAAUGGCCUACCAAGGCGUCGACGGGUAGCCGGCCUGAGAGGGUGUACGGCCACAUUGGGACUGAGAUACGGCCCAGACUCCUACGGGAGGCAGCAGUGGGGAAUAUUGCACAAUGGGCGCAAGCCUGAUGCAGCGACGCCGCGUGGGGGAUGACGGCCUUCGGGUUGUAAACUCCUUUCGCUAGGGACGAAGCGUUUUUGUGACGGUACCUGGAGAGGAAGCACCGGCUAACUACGUG